rnacentral:sRNA from 1 species
UACAAUAGGUUGGGCUCCUCAAGGGUGGUCGGCUCACUCCUGACCCCAUCAGGGAAGGGGGUGAGGACGUAUGGACGCCUAUCAAGUGUUAACGCUUCUGAUAUUGUUCGGAACGUUAGUCGCCGUGAUGAUGUCCGACAAAAGCAAGUAGAUCACCCUUGAGCUUGUCGGCUGGGUGAUCUACCUCGGCUGACUGUUUGAGCCUGCCCCCUUGAAGGGCGGCUUAUUGUACAUGGACCGCAGGUGUUGGCCGCACCUGCG